CAGCAGCCGCGGGAAUACGGAGGGUGCAAGCGUUAAUCGGAAUUACUGGGCGUAAAGCGCACGCAGGCGGUUUGUUAAGUCAGAUGUGAAAUCCCCGGGCUCAACCUGGGAACUGCAUUUGAAACUGGCAAGCUAGAGUCUCGUAGAGGGGGGUAGAAUUCCAGGUGUAGCGGUGAAAUGCGUAGAGAUCUGGAGGAAUACCGGUGGCGAAGGCGGCCCCCUGGACGAAGACUGACGCUCAGGUGCGAAAGCGUGGGGAGCAAACAGGAUUAGAUACCCGUGUAGUCCCUGUCUCUUAUAC
rnacentral:rRNA from 1 species